GACGAACGCUGGCGGCGUGCUUAACACAUGCAAGUCGAACGGAAAGGCCCUGCUUUUGUGGGGUGCUCGAGUGGCGAACGGGUGAGUAACACGUGAGUAACCUGCCCUUGACUUUGGGAUAACUUCAGGAAACUGGGGCUAAUACCGGAUAGGAGCUCCUGCUGCAUGGUGGGGGUUGGAAAGUUUCGGCGGUUGGGGAUGGACUCGCGGCUUAUUAGCUUGUUGGUGGGGUAGUGGCUUACCAAGGCUUUGACGGGUAGCCGGCCUGAGAGGGUGACCGGCCACAUUGGGACUGCGAUACGGCCCAGACUCCUACGGGAGGCAGCAGUGGGGAAUAUUGCACAAUGGGCGGAAGCCUGAUGCAGCAACGCCGCGUGCGGGAUGACGGCCUUCGGGUUGUAAACCGCUUUCGCCUGUGACGAAGCGUGAGUGACGGUAAUGGGUAAAGAAGCACCGGCUAACUACGUG
rnacentral:rRNA from 1 species